GAAAAAUUUGAUGACGCUGGCGGCGGCCUAACACAUGCAGUCGAGCGGUACAUUUCAAAGCUUGCUUUUGAAGAUGACGAGCGGCGGACGGGUGAGUAAUGCCUGGGAAUUUGCCCAUUUGUGGGGGAUAACAGUUGGAAACGACUGCUAAUACCGCAUACGCCCUACGGGGGAAAGCAGGGGACCUUCGGGCCUUGCGCUGAUGGAUAAACCCAGGUGGGAUUAGCUAGUAGGUGAGGUAAAGGCUCACCUAGGCGACGAUCCCUACCUGGUCUGAGAGGAUGAUCAGCCACACUGGGACUGAGACACGGCCCAGACUCCUACGGGAGGCAGCAGUGGGGAAUAUUGCACAAUGGGGGAAACCCUGAUGCACCCAUGCCGCGUGUGUGAAGAAGGCCUUCUGGUUGUAAAGCACUUUCUGCGAGGAGGAAAGGGUGUAAGUUAAUACCUUACAUCUGUGACGUUACUCGCCAAAAAAGCACCGGCUAACUCCGUGCCAGCAGCCGCGGUAAUACAGAGGGUGCGAGCGUUAAUCGGAAUUACUGGGCGUAAAGCAGGCGCUGCGGUUUGUUAAUCAAGAUGUGAAAUCACCCCCUCACCGGGAACCACAUUUCUAGUGGAAAUAAAUCUUGUAAAGGGGGGUAAAUUCCCCC
rnacentral:rRNA from 2 species